rnacentral:rRNA from 1 species
GGUGUCAUAUGCUUGUCUCAAAGAUUAAGCCAUGCAUGUUUAAGUAUAAGCAAUCUAUACAGUGAAACUGCGAAUGGCUCAUUAAAUCAGUUAUCGUUUAUUUGAUAGUACCUUACUACUUGGAUAACCGUGGUAAUUCUAGAGCUAAUACAUGCUAAAAACCCCGACUUCGGAAGGGGUGUAUUUAUUAGAUAAAAAACCAAUGCUCUUCGGGGCUCCUUGGUGAUUCAUGAUAACUUAACGAAUCGCAUGGCCUUGUGCCGGCGAUGGUUCAUUCAAAUUCUGCCCUAUCAACGUCGAUGUAGAGAUUUAAACCUU